UUCCCUCAGAGGUCAUCAAGUCUGGCACACAGAGCAGGAAUGCAAACCUCAGUAUGAAAUCUGCUUUUAGGAAAGGGUAACCUGCAGGAUAUUUUGUUUGGUCUCUGUUAACUAACUAUGUCUUAUUUGGUUUAGGUGUAUUCCAGUAUGCUAGUAACUUGAUUUGAAUGCUACUAACUAUACCAAGGGCUCUCCAUGAAACUUUAAGUAGGAGCAUACAAAGCUUCUUUCUUGUUUUGUGAGAGCAAUCCCAUACAGGAGAAAAAUGGUAUCUCACCAUAAGAGAAAAGUCCUAAACUCCUACUCAAAAAGUCCUAACUCCAGAGCUAAUACCAUUUCUUAAUGAGGCCACACAAGGUAAGGAAAUAAAAUUUGAAUCCAGUAAUUAUUUUUAAUAAUU
rnacentral:lncRNA from 1 species